rfam:Dipodomys ordii contig_74196, whole genome shotgun sequence.
GGGAAUGUGGCUUAGUGGUAGAGUGCUUACCUACCAUGCAAGAAGCCCUGGGUUCAAUUCCUCAGUACCA